rnacentral:rRNA from 1 species
GAUGAACGCUAGCGGCAGGCUUAAUACAUGCAAGUCGUGGGGCAGCAGGUUUGUAGCAAUACAGAUGCUGGCGACCGGCAAACGGGGCGCGGAACACGUACAGAACCUUCCUUUGAGCGGGGAAUAGCCCAGAGAAAUUUGGAUUAAUACCCCAUAGUAUAAUGAAGUGGCAUCACUUUAUUAUUAAAGAUUUAUCACUCGAAGAUGGCUGUGCGGCUGAUUAGGUAGUUGGCGGGGUAAAGGCCCACCAAGCCUGCGAUCAGUAACUGGUGUGAGAGCACGACCAGUCACACGGGCACUGAGACACGGGCCCGACUCCUACGGGAGGCAGCAGUAAGGAAUAUUGGUCAAUGGAGGCAACUCUGAACCAGCCAUGCCGCGUGGAGGAUGAAGGUCCUCUGGAUUGUAAACUUCUUUUAUAUGGGACGAAAAAAGGCUUUCUAAGUCGUCUGACGGUACCAUAUGAAUAAGCACCGGCUAACUCCGUG